CCUACGGGGGGCAGCAGUGGGGAAUUUUGGACAAUGGGCGAAAGCCUGAUCCAGCAAUGCCGCGUGCAGGAUGAAGGCCUUCGGGUUGUAAACUGCUUUUGUACGGAACGAAACGGCCUGUUCUAAUAGAGAGGGCUAAUGACGGUACCGUAAGAAUAAGCACCGGCUACCUACGAGGCAGCAGCCGCGGGAAAACGUAGGGUGCGAUCGUUGAUCGGAAUUACUGGGCGUAAAGCGUGGGCAGGCGGUUAUGUAAGACAGUUGUGAAAUCUCCGAGCUCUACCUGGGAAUUGCAUUUGUGACUUGAAAGGUAGGGUAGGAUAGGGGGGGAUGGGAUUUCGCGUGUAGCCGUGGAAUGCGUAGAUAUGCGGAGGAACACCGAUGGGGAAGGGCAGCCCCUGGACCUGUACUGACGCUCAUGCACGAAAGCGUGGGGAGCGAACAAGAUUAGAUACCCUAGUAGUC
rnacentral:rRNA from 1 species